CGUGCGUCCUACGUAACUUGUGACGAGCAUUGUAAACAACAGCGAGCGAGUUAGCUUGUAAAAGUUAUGCAGCCUCCACAGUGUUUGACCUGAAGCUCAAUGAUGCUGUGUGAAAUCCUCCUGUCGUCACUAUGGUUCCUGUUUGUGAUCUUCUGGGCCGAGACAAUAAGCGUGUGGCUGUUUUUAUUCAUGUUUUACCAGGACCAGGCCUUUUACCACUGGGGAGAUGGGUUAUUUGCAGACGAUCCCGGGCAGAUGAUUUACAUGUUGAGCAGAGUUGAAAACACGGCAGAGACCGAGCCACAGACCUGAAAUGGAAAUAUGUCAAGAACUUUAAAGAAGACAGUGUUGCUGUCAUGUGACUGAAGAGCCCAUGGAAAAAAAGCCAGUUUCUCUUUGCUGCAAAUGUAUUCUAUCUGUUUUCUGGGGAGCAAAACAAUAUAAAAUGUGCAAAUCUGAUUCUCACGUGAGCUCAGUGCAAUUUGUUUUACUUUUUUCCCCCUUCACUCUAAACUCCAUUUUGCACUUUCGCUGAGAUCAUUUCUGUCUUUUGUCUUCUCUAUGCAAUCACUGUUUACUAGUUGCACUCAUAUUUGCGUUUUCGGGUAAUAAAUUGCAGUCAAUCUGAUGUUUUAAGGCCUUCUAUGAUUUAGCCUACAAACUUGUAAGCUUAUCAAAGCAAAGUAAUGAGAGUUUCUAUUUUGAGUCAAUAUUUGUAGUAUUAUCUUGAGUUUCAACAGAGAAGCAGUGGAAAUGAACAUAUUUUUUAAACCUGAUGGUUCACAAAUUAUAUUUCUCAUUUGUCUUGUUUAUGCAUGUGUACUUUAUUGCAUGUUAAUUUUGUUCUGUUGUCCACGUUCAGUUGAUGAACUGAAAUUUCAUGCUGACGUCAGAUGGGACGUUUCCCUUUGGCUAUAACUCUGUGUAAAACAGAAACACAUCCAUUUUUUUCCCCCUUUAAUCAAAAUGUGUAUCACAUUUUUCCCCCACUGAUGUAUAGCACCAUGUUUUAGUGUCUUUUUGUAACUACGACAAAGAAUACUUUUGUUCUGUAUAUUGAGUUAUUAAAUAAAACUAUAUUCGAGUUUGUUGA